AUCAUUUAGAGGAAGGAGAAGUCGUAACAAGGUUUCCGUAGGUGNACCUGCGGAAGGAUCAUUGUCGAAACCUCUGCCCAGCAGAACGACCCGCGAACUUGUUCCACACACGUCGCGCGGGGGCCCGAGGCGCGCUCCGUCGUUCCUCGCGGUCCCCCGCGCGCUCGCGGCCGUAGGGUAGCCGGGGGUAUCGCCCUCGGUCCUACGCCCCGCAACACCGAACCCCGGCGCGGACCGCGUCAAGGAAAUCUAACGAGAGAGCCUGCUCCAGCCGCCCCGGAGACGGUGCGCGGGCUGGCGGCAGUGCCUUCUUUCUAUUAUAAUCCAAAACGACUCUCGGCAACGGAUAUCUCGGCUCUCGCAUCGAUGAAGAACGUAGCGAAAUGCGAUACAUGGUGUGAAUUGCAGAAUCCCGUGAACCAUCGAGUCUUUGAACGCAAGUUGCGCCCCAAGCCUUCUGGCCGAGGGCACGCCUGCCUGGGUGUCACGCAUCGUUGCCCCCCUCACCGACCCCCCCGCCUCGAACGAGGCGUGGGGACAACUAUAAUAUACCUAUAUUAUAGGUAGGUGUGGGGGGGCGGAUAUUGGCCUCCCGUGCGUCUUCUUAUCGCGCGGUUGGCCCAAAUACGACUCCUCGGCAACGGAUGAUGCCGCGACGUUCGGUGGCAGAAGGAAACCUCGAGCCUCCGUCGCGCGCACCGGUGCCGGGCGUCUCGGACCCUAACGAGCACGCCGCUCGCAUCGCGACCCCAGNUCAGGCGGGACUACCCGCUGAGUUUAAGCAUAUCAU
rnacentral:misc_RNA from 1 species